AUGACGGCCUUCGGGUUGUAAACCUCUUUCAGUAGGGAAGAAGCGAAAGUGACGGUACCUGCAGAAGAAGCGCCGGCUAACUACGUGCCAGCAGCCGCGGUAAUACGUAGGGCGCAAGCGUUAUCCGGAAUUAUUGGGCGUAAAGAGCUCGUAGGCGGUUUGUCGCGUCUGCCGUGAAAGUCCGGGGCUCAACUCCGGAUCUGCGGUGGGUACGGGCAGACUAGAGUGAUGUAGGGGAGACUGGAAUUCCUGGUGUAGCGGUGAAAUGCGCAGAUAUCAGGAGGAACACCGAUGGCGAAGGCAGGUCUCUGGGCAUUAACUGACGCUGAGGAGCGAAAGCAUGGGGAGCGAACAGGAUUAGAUACCCUGGUAGUCCAUGCCGUAAACGUUGGGCACUAGGUGUGGGGGACAUUCCACGUUUUCCGCGCCGUAGCUAACGCAUUAAGUGCCCCGCCUGGGGAGUACGGCCGCAAGGCUAAAACUCAAAGGAAUUGACGGGGGCCCGCACAAGCGGCGGAGCAUGCGGAUUAAUUCGAUGCAACGCGAAGAACCUUACCAAGGCUUGACAUGGACCGGACCGCCGCAGAAAUGUGGUUUCCCCUUUGGGGCCGGUUCACAGGUGGUGCAUGGUUGUCGUCAGCUCGUGUCGUGAGAUGUUGGGUUAAGUCCCGCAACGAGCGCAACCCUCGUUCCAUGUUGCCAGCGCGUAAUGGCGGGGACUCAUGGGAGACUGCCGGGGUCAACUCGGAGGAAGGUGGGGACGACGUCAAAUCAUCAUGCCCCUUAUGUCUUGGGCUUCACGCAUGCUACAAUGGCCGGUACAAAGGGUUGCGAUACUGUGAGGUGGAGCUAAUCCCAAAAAGCCGGUCUCAGUUCGGAUUGGGGUCUGCAACUCGACCCCAUGAAGUCGGAGUCGCUAGUAAUCGCAGAUCAGCAACGCUGCGGUGAAUACGUUCCCGGGCCUUGUACACACCGCCCGUCAAGUCACGAAAGUUGGUAACACCCGAAGCCGGUGGCCUAA
rnacentral:rRNA from 1 species